rnacentral:rRNA from 1 species
GACGAACGCUGGCGGCGUGCCUAAUACAUGCAAGUCGAACGCAGUUUCGAACGGGUGAGUAACGCGUAUGUAACUGCCUCAUAGCGGGGGGUAACUAUUUGAAACGAUAGCUAAUACCGCAUACUGUGAGAUAGACCUGCGUUGUAUUAGCUUGGUGGUGAGGUAAAGGGUCACGAAGGCGCCGAUACAUAGCCGACCUGAGAGGGUGGACGGCUAGCCUGGCAGUGAGGAACGGCCCAGACUCCUGAGGGAGGCAGCAGUAGGGAAUCCUCGGGAAUGGACCGAAGUCGGACCGAGCACAGCCGGGGGAGUGAAGAAGGGUUUACGAUGGGAAAGCUAUGUUGUUAGAGAAGCGGUAACUAACGAGAAAGGGACGGCUAACUACGUGCCAGCAGCCGCGGUAAUAC